UACGUAGGUGGCAAGCGUUGUCCGGAUUUACUGGGCGUAAAGAGCGCGCAGGCGGUCGUUCAAGUCGCGUGUGAAAGCCCCCGGCUCAACUGGGGAGGGUCACGCGAUACUGAUCGACUCGAAGGCAGGAGAGGGUAGUGGAAUUCCCGGUGUAGUGGUGAAAUGCGUAGAUAUCAGGAGGAACACCCGAGGCGAAGGCGGCUCUCUGGGUCGUACCUGACGCUGAGGCGCGAAAGCGUGGGGAGCGAACGGG
rnacentral:rRNA from 1 species